rnacentral:rRNA from 1 species
CCAAUAGCGUAUAUUAAAGUUGUUGCAGUUAAAAAGCUCGUAGUUGAACUUCGGGAUCAAUUGGCCGGUCGUGCCACUAGGUAUGUACUGACCAUAUUGGUUCUCACCUUCUAAUGAACCAUAAUGUCAUUCAUUUGAUGUUAUGGGGAAUUAGGACUGUUACCUUGAAAAAAUUAGAGUGUUUAAAGCAGGCUUACGCUUGAAUACAUUAGCAUGGAAUAAUGAAAUAGGACAUCGCAUUCUAUUUUGUUGGUUUCUAGGAUCGAUGUAAUGAUUAAUAGGGAUAGUUGGGGGCAUUAGUAUUCAAUUGUCAGAGGUGAAAUUCUUGGAUUUAUUGAAGACUAACUACUGCGAAAGCAUUUGCCAAGGAUGUUUUCAUUAAUCAAGAACGAAAGUUAGGGGAUCGAAGACGAUCAGAUACCGUCGUAGUCUUAACCAUAAACUAUGCCGACUAGGGAUCGGAUGAUGUUGAUUUUAUAAUGACUCA